CCGACGUGGCGGCAUGGGGGGGUGGGUUGCUGCGGUGAUCAGAUAAAAAGAAACCACCCUCAACGAGGCGGAGACGCCGCGGCCAAUCCCCAUCCCUCCCCUCUUCCCAACAACAAUAUAAUAAUACUCUUCCAGUGAUGGAGUGACGUUUUCCCAAAGCGCGCGCAUGGUGCCGAGGUGGCUGUUUCGAUAGAGAGCGGGACGAGGAUGUGAUCUCUGCCUCCGCCCGCCGAGACCCUCACUAGGCCGUCCCCGGAACCCUGGCCCAUCACGACGGGAUGCCUCCUCCGGAUCCCGCCGCCAUGGGCCCCGGGGAGGUCGCCUCCCGCUCGCCGCUUGACAAGCCCUUCGCUGACCUCACCGACGAGGACAUCGCCCAGCUCACCCGCGAGGACUGCCGCCGCUUCCUCAAAGCCAAAGGCAUGCGGCGGCCGUCGUGGAACAAGUCGCAAGCGAUUCAGCAGGUUAUCUCCCUCAAGGCACUUUUCGAGGGGCGGCCGGGCUGCGACGACUCCCCCGCAGGCGGAGGGAUCCUUCGGAAGCUUCCCCCUGUUACUUCGGCGCCGGUGUCUCCGCCGCAGAACUCGCCACCUCCGGCGACGGAGGAAGGCAGCGGCGGGGGCGGCAGUGGAGCGCAACCUCCGGCGAAAGAGCCCUCGCCGUACCGGAGGAAGGAUCCGUUUCCCCCGCCAUUCUUUGCCGGAGACCUGACCUGCAGUACCCCGAUCGCCGAACCAGACAGUCCUCACCCGCCGGAGAACCGAUGCUUCUCCCCCAGGACGACGGCGGACCUACCGGGAGAGCAGAUGACGAUCUUCUACGACGGGAUGAUCAACGUGUACGAUGACGUCUCGGCCGAUCAGGCGAGGGCGAUCAUGGAGCUCGCUGCCAGCCCGGCCUGCUUCGAAGACCCGACUGAUCCGCUUCCUCCGGCCCGGCGGCCGGUCUUCCGCUUGCCCCCGGGCCCCGCUCCCCCUUUCUCCCGAGCCUUCCGAAUCCGGGCGACAGGCAGGAUGCCCCACCGUGUGGCGGGCGGGUUGGAGGGCCGGAGGGUGCCGCGGGAAACAGAGCAUGAAGUUCCAACAAGUAGAAAAGCAUCAUUGCAAAGGUACUUGGAGAAAAGGAAAGAUAGGUUUAAGGGCAAAAAGAUCCUCGGAGGUUCAACUUCUUCCGAUAUGGAGAUGAUGUACAUUAGCCAAAAGUUGAGAUGCCUGAACCAUAGUGAGCUCCCGAACCUGAAUGAAACAAGCUUCCCUUCUCUGUCCCAGCCACCUCAAUCACCAGCAAGGUGCAGCUCGGCAGAAAACCAAAGUGGAGACAAAUAUUUCAUCGAUCUCAAUGAUGACAGCGGCGGAAUUUAAGAUUGUUGGAUGACCACCAAACGGGUCCCAGGAGCUGAGAGACCCUGGUUCUGUGGCGUCCUGCCCUGGGUUUUGAUAUAUCCAAGAAUCUUGGCUUGUAUACUUUUGCAAUGGCAGCCGCUUGGAAAUUAAUAAUGUUUCAAGAUGCCAACCCCAUGGAUGAGAUUGAAGACUGAACAGAAGCUGUGAUUUGCCCUGGUCCUCAUUCGUACAUCAAGCAAUUUGCAUGUGUAAGAUCAGCCUUCCAGUUUCUUAUGGCAGUGCAGCCCAUCAGAGGACAGUCAAAAUCCAGAUCAUUAUUCUCUUCGUGAUCACAGCCGCCAGGUGAAGGUAAUGACAGUCCGAUGAUCCUAUUUGACCGGAAAGAACAGAUCAUGUAUCCUUUUGUUGGAAGUUCAUGUACUAAAAAGACUAACACAAACUCUUGCGGUACUUGCUACAAGUCCACUGGAGGUUGCGGCUACCUUCGAGUCACGAAGGCUUUGCUCUCGAGGGAUGCUUGGGAAACAUCAAUCGAAUGUGAUGAUUGAUGCAGUACAAGUCCUCCUUCACCCACUCGAUAUAUAUAUCGCCUUCAGUUUCUCAAGGAAGCAAGCUCGAGCGCGCAGUGAAAGAGGGGAUUACUGCUAUCAGUAGAAACUCACCAAUCUGUAAAUGAGGCAUCACAGAACUUAAAAAAGGCAAAUUCCAAUUAAAACAGUUCAAUCACAUCUAGUUCUUUUGUUUUGUGCCCAUGG